CAACAACAUUGUCUGGCUGAAGGGCUGCUGAGAACAACCUGGAGUUUCCCCAUUUAGUCAGUUUCCCCCUGUUUGAAUGAACCUUUUACAUAGCAAAAAGAGACAGAUCUUACUUAUAUCUACAAAAACUGACACAGGGAGAGGACCCACAGUCAAACAUCUUCAUGAUUGAAUACCAAAGCCCUAUGUCUGUGGACCAGUUGCAAUGUUUCCAGGUUGCUGACCUCAAGGUUAGAGCACGCAUUUAUUUCUAAGCACUGACAGCCAGGUAUUAUGUCAUGGGAGAAUAAAGGUUAAAGGAUCAUAUAAACAAAGGUCAUUUAUCUAAUGCUCUCAGGCAGCUAACUUGGAUAGUCUGUUUUAUACUAACCCCUUCCCUCAUGUCAUCAAAAUC